AGUGUCUGCUUGCUAUUGGCGAAAAGCUAUGAGGAAAAGUGUAAAUGUUAAGUGCUUCCUCAGUGACAUUUGUGCCAUCUCCUGCCAGCGUUGUUCAUCUGGCCAUUGUAGUUGAGCUUUUAGCAGCAGGUCGAUGUGCAAACUGUGAAGUGCUUCCUUCGUUGAUUUCUGCUGAUCAAGCUUCUGUGGAAGGCAUAAGAACUGGUCGAGCCAUUUGUUUUUCUGGUCAAUUGGCAAACCUCUUGCCCUAGCGGUCAAAGAAACUUCACAUACUAAUUUUAACAAAAAUCUACAUCUCUGGUGGUAGAAGAGCAAAGAGAAGCAGAAGAUAAAAGAUAAAAGAACAAAAAUAUACUUUAAAAAAAUGAGAAUGGAUCUAGGGAAACAAGGCACAACAAACUGAGAAAACAAAACAAGGCAGGCUGACAUCAAAAGUCUAGUUAAAACUACUGAAAUAAAGUCCAAUGAAACAACAACCCCAAAAGCAUGAACUGAAUAUAAAAAAGCAAGAAUUGAAAUAAAGAAGCUAUAGAUCAAAA